CUAGUUAACAACAGAGAAACUUUCACUGACACUAGAAGGCUGUAUCAGUUGCACAGGUUUGGCUGAAGGGACAGAAAUCCCUCCCAAGAGUGGCUAAACUGCGAAGGCAUCUCACCUGGAAUGUUUGAUGAUGAUGUGAGAGGCGGGAGGUCCAGAGGUGGUCUGGGGGCUCACAAUGUCAUCAGUGACCCAGGUGCCACCCUCCUCUCUACUCUGCAGUUAACAGGAUAUUGAUGUCACUCCCUGAUGGGUUGCACUGCGGCUGCCUCCACUGCAAUCAUCACAUCUGCAUAGCUAGCACUCAAGCCAGAAGCAAGGGGCACCUUCUGGAACCCAGCCCACCUCUUCGCAGGAAGGAGAAUCCCUCACAGAAGCCCCCAAAGACUACCUCUAAUACCUCAUUGGCCUCCUUGGCCUUCAGGGCCUUCUGGGCCUUGCCCCGCCCACCCAGCCUCUCCCCCAGGGGUUCCUGUAGCCCCCAUCAGCCACAUCAGUGAAGUGAGGAAGGAGAGGGGACAUGAACACAGGCGACCUGGACAGAAAGUGCACAUUCGGAGAGCAGCAGGGAGAGAGGCUUCCACCCGAGGAUCAAGUACACAGGAAGUGCUCAAUACACACUGAGGCUACAGGGGCCUGCUCUCCGUCCUCCCACGCCAGGGCACACCCACGCUUCGUUCCACGGGCCCUGCCCUGGGGCUCCGACUCCAGCCCUUCUGCCAUCCCCGAAAUCCGUCAGCUCAGACAGUACAUGUGCUAGGGCUUCACAGGGCUGCACUGAUGUGCAGGUCAUGUGCUGGGAGGCGUCGGCG